AACAGUUUAAUAAUUAGUUUUGACUUGUUAUGCCUUCAUUUGUGUGUCAACAUUUUGAGAUGUGUUGAAUUCAUGUGAAAGAUAUCGCAUUUCCACUUCCCUCAUUCAUGGUCAACUGGGUAAGGGGUUAGGGAUAUAGACCCCAGACCAGACACGGGCAGGCAGAGGGGUUUAGCUUGGCGUGGGGAUCGUGGAUCGGGCUGUGGCAGAUAGUGGGGAACUCAGACUCACACAGGAACCAGAAGGGGAAACCAGGAGCAACCAAUACAAGAGCUGGCAGGGCAGGAAGCCCGGGCAGUGCUAGCAGGGGUUUGUGAUUGUGAGAUGGAGUCAACGCGGCAAAUCUAACCAUCCAGGCUAGCAUCUGCUUUAAUGUGUCCACCAGGGCCUGGAAUGGAUGCAACUGCACAGAGGCCGGACACAGAGUGAAGUGAGAGUGCAUUCCUCAUGGAGCUGUGUUGAUCAACGGUGAUGCGGGGCUGGUGUGAAGCUGAUCAGUGCUCAUGAUAACGUGCAGGGGGAGUCUGGUCUGACUGUUCAGCAACUAUUACUAUUAACUGAAACAACAAACUUAAGAAAAGAGUUUAUUCGUGUAAAAUGACAGACUUAAGAACAGUUCAGAUUCUCAGAGUGUAUGAGGGUGUGCUAUAUGAGUUUUGGGCAUCAUCAUAGAAGUGUAAACGAUGAGUUAAAACACAGGAGAGAUGACACACAUGAUGUGUGCAUGAUAAAGUACAGUAAGGAGAGUCUAUAGAUGCUGAUCUCUCCUGGAAACUGGCACGAUCCGCUGUAGAUUACCAGAGAUUACUAGACUAGAGACAACAAAACAAAGCUCAUGUAUAUUCCAGAAGGAUUAAACGCUUCAGAAUCCUCCAGAUGUUCAGAAGAGUAAUGCACAAUGCUGAAUCCUACAGUGUGGGUGAUGAGCGGUUCCCUCUGCUGGACACAGAUCAAAAUAAACUCUCUAUAACAUGACAUAUUCAUCAUAUAAACACUUACAUUAGCAGUAAAUAUAGACGCUGUAGUGCUAUAAAGGUUUCACCAUGCCUGAAUAAUAGAUCACACAGAGAUUGAUAUACUGUUCGAUUACUGUAACCGCGAGUCUUGCUUAAUAUGAAGUGAGAGACUAGAGUACAUGUACACAGAGCGUCUCCACAUAACCAACAUGUACACUACAGUUUUACUAUCAGUUUGGUCACUUGCUGACUAGAAUGUCUGCACUGUAAAAAAUCCAACUUGCACAUUGCUAACUCAAAUCAAAAUUGUAAGUUGGGUGGACAUAUUUUGAGCUCAGUGUUGAGUUUACUUUUAAAAAUGAGUUAACUGAAGGUUUAAAACUGGUUUGUUCAAUGAAAGUAAAUACUUAAGUUGAGCAGACUUUACAUUUUGAGUUCUUCACUGGAUCAUCUACUUCCCGUCUUUGCACAUGCUCAGUCUGUCUUCGGGUGCCAUUUUGCACGAGGUGUCCUCUCACCAGCAGCAGCUGCCAUCUCCUGAUUCAGGACACAGAGCCAGAAGAUAUUUGCACAAAAGAGAUGGAGAUGGACAUCCUUAGCACUGUUGAAGAUGAUGUUGCCACUCUUCAGACCAACCUAAAUGUAAGGUGCGUGUCUGUGGUUCUGGAAGAGCAAAUCGUGCUGGAAAAGAUCUUCCGACAGCUGUUGUUCUCCUCUUUGGUUUGAUUAAUUUCCUCAUUAUGAACUACCCCAAAGAACUGAAACACAUCUUUGACACUAUUCAGAAAGUGUUUAUUGGCCUUGAUCCUCAGUGCUCAGCAAGAGUCCAGUCUUU